rnacentral:tRNA from 3 species
GGGCCGGUGGUCUAGCGGUUAGGACGUCGCCCUUACGAGGCGAAGGUCGCAGGUUCGAAUCCUGCCCGGCCCACCA